rnacentral:snRNA from 1 species
AUGCUUGGUUCGGCAGCACAUAUACUAAAAUUGGAACAAUACAGAGAAGACUAGC